CCCUCUGGCUUAAACUCCGCUCAAGGGAGGGAGAUUCGUCUCCUCGCCCUGCCUGGCCCCAUGGCUCUAAAAUGGUGGAUAGGGCCACGAGGAGGAGGCCAACAGACCGUUUGGAGGUGGGACUAAGGGCAAGGAACGGAGACCACUGGACAACAAUGGAAGGAAUCCACGCACCCAGAAGAACAAGAGAGAAAGUGGGGAAGCCUCACUGUCGAGAAGCCCAAGAUGGUACGGCUUGUACUUUUAGCUCCGUGCCACCCACUUUCAGGGGUGAGUCAGGCACUUCAGCAGAACAGCUUUGGCCAUAGCACCUUAGACACCAGCUCCAUGACGCUCAAGACGCCUCACCACCACUUCUGCUGGCUCCACUUUCCCCUCUCUCAAUCUCAUUUGACUGAUGCUACUGUUGUUUGGUUUAGAUUUUCUGAACCACAGUAUCUCUCUGCUUCUUUCCCCUCUCCCACUACAAAAAAGCAAACUGGAUAAUGUG